rnacentral:rRNA from 1 species
UACGUAGGGACCAAGCGUUGUUCGGAUUUACUGGGCGUAAAGGGCGCGUAGGCGGCGCGGUAAGUCACUUGCGAAAUCUCUGAGCUUAACUCAGAACGGCCAAGUGAUACUGCAGUGCUAGAGUGUGGAAGGGGCAAUCGGAAUUCUUGGUGUAGCGGUGAAAUGCGUAGAUAUCAAGAGGAACACCUGAGGUGAAGACGGGUUGCUGGGCCAACACUGACGCUGAUGCGCGAAAGCCAGGGGAGCAAACGGG